UACGGAGGGUGCAAGCGUUAUCCGGAUUCACUGGGCUUAAAGGGCGCGUAGGCGGGUUGGUAAGUCAGUGGUGAAAUCUCCGUGCUUAACAUGGAAACUGCCAUUGAUACUACUGAUCUUGAAUUUUCUGGAGGUAAGCGGAAUAUGUCAUGUAGCGGUGAAAUGCUUAGAUAUGACAUAGAACACCGAUUGCGAAGGCAGCUUACUACAGGGAUAUUGACACUGAGGCACGAAAGCGUGGGGAGCAAACAGG
rnacentral:rRNA from 1 species